CCCUUAGAUGUCCUGGGCCGCACGCGCGCUACACUGAACGGAUCAGCGCGUUUUCCCUUCCCGAGAGGGACGGGUAACCUGCUGAACCCCGUUCGUGGUAGGGAUCAGGGCUUGCAAUUAUUCCCCGUGAACCAGGAAUGCCCAGUAAGUGCAAGUCAUAAGCUUGCGUUGAUUACGUCCCUGCCCUUUGUACACACCGCCCGUCGCUACUACCGAUUGAACGUUUUAGUGAGGUACUCGGACUGAGCCUCAGAAGAUUCACGUCUUUUGUGCUGCUCGGGAAGAUUCCCAAACUUGAGCGUUUAGAGGAAGUAAAAGUCGUAACA
rnacentral:rRNA from 1 species